rnacentral:lncRNA from 1 species
AGUUGCUGCAAUUUAUUAUACCCUUUUAUCGCAAAGUAAAAGGGUAUAUUAUAUUCGUUGCAAAAUUUGCACCGAAAAUGGUUACACCUUUGGUUUGCAUUUCCAUUGCUGCCUUCGAUGGAAUCCUUUCCCAUUGACCCACAUUCGGGUCAUCAAGUGAUGCCCACAUAUGGACAGGAUUCUUGCAAAAAGGACUCGCUACGUCCCGCAUCCUUCGGCCAUUCUCCUCCAGUGCGUGAGUCCUGAAACACGAGGGAAAUCAAAGGACAUGGCGUCAAUCAGUUUUCCACUAAACCAGGCACACAUGUCGGUCACCUCCUGCGGGCUCCGCUGCCUCCCCUCCCUUUCUGCGACUCCUGUGGAUUUUGCCUCUUUUCCCAAUCUCCAUCGAGUGGAAAACUUGGCAGCAAUUGGCGACCGGCAGUUGAAGUAUGACUACCUUCUUUCUCGCAAAAAAAAAAAAUAGAUAGUUAAACUUUGCUCUGCUGGGCUAUUGAUGUAUUUCGACUGCUUGCAGUUGGUAUUUACAUUUGCCCAACUAUUUCAUUGUUUGUCCAUUUUGCAGGAUGAAUGUGCUUUGAUUUCGAUUUCAUUGCACACAGGUGCGCACGAGGACAAUUCGGUUCGGUAAAUGCUGUUUGAUCCAGGCAGUCAGUUGUAGUU